AAAAUCCGUCGACUUUAGAAAUCNUGAGGGUUCGAGUCCCUCUAUCCCC
rnacentral:tRNA from 1 species